GGCAGCCUCUGCAGACGGAUCCCCAUGUUGUUUCCUCAGCUCAAGACGCUCAGGAUACGGUUUCUCCGUAAAGAACCAGAGAAGGACCUCCUGAACCUCCUCCGGCUGCAGCACCUGGAGCGUCUGGAGCUGCUGGUGGAUCGCUCAUUCAUCCACCAGGAUUACUUGAACAACACAUGUGGCCCAGCCCGAGCGUACAGGAACUGAUUGACCAGCUCCGAAGGCUGUCGCAUAACCGGAUCAGCGUCGUCACGAAGAUGCGUCCGAGAAACCUCCUGAGAGAGUGUGACUGUUUGAGUGAAGUCGACUGAGAGGACAGACUUUGAGAAGGUUUAAGUUUGAAGAAGUCAGUCACCACCAGAGUCAAGAACGGGAAAUGAAAAGAUGUCAGAGAACCUGAAGUGGAGACUGUUUGUUUUUCUUUUUGAUCAGGCUUAAAGCCCUUUAUUCUGUCAGGGAAGGACUGUGGAUAGAGCAGGAGACAGAGUGGGGAGUGACAUGCAGGAAAAGGCCCUAGGUUGUAGUCAAACCCUGUCCCUGGGGAAAGACUUGAAUGAAUUGUUUAAUUUAUGUUACUGAGAAAUAAGAAGCACAGAGUGAUGAGUUAUAUGAUGGUUGUUCACUUAUGAAAUAAGGGCUUUGGAAAUGUUAAUCGUACUGAAGUAAUUAUGACAACUUGUAAACAUUGAGGACCGUCAGUAUUUACUUUAAGAGAUCAAUGAGGAACAAAGAGAGAAUAUGAGACUGUAUUAGAUAAAGGCCUGGUGUUAUUCAGAUAUCAGUGGGAAAAAAAGCAGCAUUAAUGAAUUAAUGAAUUAAAUACAGUCUUCAUCAGUGAAUAAAUACGGACAUGAUGUAUCCUGUA